AGAGUUCGAUCCUGGCUCAGGACGAAUGGUGGUGGUAUUCUUAAGACAUGAAAAUCUAAUGGGAAGUGGUGUUCCCGGUGCUGGACGGGUGAGUAAUGUGUAAGAACUUGCCCUUGAAAAUGGAACAAAUCCUAGAAAUGGCUGCUAAUACCCCGUAAGAUGAGGAGCAAAAGGAAGAAUUUUCCCGAUAAAGGGCUCUCAUCUGAUUAGCUAGUUGGUGAGAGGCGAUAGCAUACAAAGGCGAUGAUUAGUACCUGGUCCGAGAGGAUGAUCAGCUACACUGGGAGUGAGACAUUGCCCAGACUCCUAUCAGAGGUAGCAGUGGGGAAUUUUCUGCAAUGGGUGAAAGCCUAGUGGAGCAAUACCUCGUGUAGGUAGAUGUCCAAUGGGUCGUGAACUUCUUUUCCAAUAGAAGAAGUAAUGACGAUAUCUGGGAAUAAGCAUCGACUAACUCUGUACCAGUAGCCGCGGUAAUACAAAGGAUGCAAGUGUUAUCUGGAAUGAUUGGGCGUAAAGUGUUUGUAGGUGGCUUUUUAAGUUCACCGUCAAAUCCCAAGGUUCAACCAUGGACAGGCGGUGGAAACUACUAAGCUAGAGUAUGGUAGGGGCAGAGGGAAUUUUUAGUGAAGCAGUGAAAUGCGUAGAGAUCAGAAAGAAUACCAACGGCAAAAGAACUUUUCUAGGCCGACUCUAACUCUGAGAGGUGAAAGCUAGGGGAGCGAAUGGGAUUAGAUACCACAGUAGCCCUAGCCAUAAACAAUGGAAACUAGGUGCUUUGUGUAUUGACCAAUGCAGUGUUGUAGCUAUCGUAUAUAGUAUCCCACCUGGGGAGUCGUUCGCAAGAAUCAAACUCAAAGGAAUUGACGGGGGCCUGUACAAGCGGUGGAGCACGUGGUUUAAUUUGAUGCAAAGGAAAGAACCUUAACAAGGCUUAACAUGCUGCGAAUCCUCUUAAAAGAGAGGGGUGCCUUCAGGAACGCAUACACAAGUGGUGCAUGGCUGUCGUUAGCUCGAGCCAUAAGGUGUUGACUUAAGUAUCGUAACAAGCACAAGCCUCAUGUUUAGUUGCCACCGUUGAGUUUUUAGAACCCUGAGCAAACUGCCAGUGAUAAGUCUGAGGAAGGUGAGGAUGACGUCAAGUCAUCAUGCCCCUUAUGCCCUGGGAAACACAUGUGCUACAAUGGCUGGGACAAUGUGUAACGUACUACGUUUUUGGGUACCUUUACACGACUCGGGUCGGGAUUUUUCCCCCGGGUUAAGAAUAUUAUUUUAAAUAAUAUUAUAUCUUGUUUGUAAGUAUUCCAUGAG
rnacentral:rRNA from 2 species